ACCCAGAACAAGGAGGAGAGGUCUUUUUACAGCUUUAGAACAUACCACAACGUUUGCUCUCAUAGCAAUUAAUGUCUCCACGUUUGUCCCCAGGGUACGCCAAACCAUGUCGGCCAGCAAAAAGAGGAAACGUCCGAAGGACAGCGAGGGUUUGAGCUCGGGCGGAUGCAAUGUGCCUCGUCCUAAAAUCGCCCAGCAGGUCACUGUGGAUGAGCAGCAGGUCACUGUGGAUGAGCAGCAGGUCACUCUGGAUGAGGUGGACUCGUACGGCAAAUAUGUCAGACUCAGCAAUACAGUUGAUGAGGUCAGUGGAUGUGUCACAGGGGAACAUCUUACGAAAUUUGCACAUUUUCCAGUAACGACUAACCUGUUGAGAUCAAUUUCAACUAUUAGGAUCAGAAUUUGGGGAACUGGCAGGUGAAGCUCCAGAUUGGAUCUUCUGCUCCCAUCGUAUUCAAGUUUGCCGCAGAAUUCAUCCUGAAGGCCAGGGGUCCCCAAACUUUUUCCUGGUUGGCAGGCCGGAUUAAACGGUCCCGCGGGCCGUGUCCGGCCCGCGGGCCGUAGUUUGGUGACCCCUGCUGAAGGCCCACGAGAGUGUCACGAUCUGGGCGGCUGACGCUGGCCGAAACCACAAUCCUCCCUCUGAUCUAGUCUGGGAGACACAGUCCAACUGGGGACCCGUAGGCCAGGUCCACUUUACCUUGAUCAACGCCAACGGAGAGG